UCGAAAGCCUAUCUCAGUUCGGAUUGGAGGCUGAAACUCGCCUCCAUGAAGUUGGAUUCGCUAGUAAUCGCGCAUCAGCCAUGGCGCGGUGAAUACGUUCCCGGGCCUUGUACACACCGCCCGUCAAGCCAUGGGAGUUGGGGGUGCCUGAAGUUCGUGACCGCAAGGAGCGACCUAGGGCAAAACUAAUGACUGGGGCUAAGUCGUAACAAGGUAAC
rnacentral:rRNA from 1 species